rnacentral:rRNA from 1 species
UACGGAGGGGGCUAGCGUUGUUCGGAAUUACUGGGCGUAAAGCGCACGUAGGCGGAUUGCUAAGUCAGGGGUGAAAUCCUGGAGCUCAACUCCAGAACUGCCUUUGAUACUGGCGACCUUGAGUCCGGGAGAGGUGAGUGGAACUGCGAGUGUAGAGGUGAAAUUCGUAGAUAUUCGCAAGAACACCAGUGGCGAAGGCGGCUCACUGGCCCGGUACUGACGCUGAGGUGCGAAAGUGUGGGGAGCAAACAGG